rfam:Schistosoma mansoni, Puerto Rico, WGS project CABG01000000 data, contig: 0192
AGCUUUCUGAAUCCGCGCAGAGAUUUCGUCAGACACCAAUUCAUUAGGGCUGACCAGACUUCCAAGGUAAGUGAAGUU